rnacentral:rRNA from 1 species
UUGACCUCUGACCUCAAAUCAGGUAGGACUACCCGCUGAACUUAAGCAUAUCA